rnacentral:rRNA from 1 species
UACGUAGGGUGCAAGCGUUAAUCGGAAUUACUGGGCGUAAAGCGUGCGCAGGCGGUUGUGCAAGACAGAUGUGAAAUCCCCGGGCUUAACCUGGGAAUUGCAUUUGUGACUGUACGGCUAGAGUGUGUCAGAGGGGGUAGAAUUCCACGUGUAGCAGUGAAAUGCGUAGAGAUGUGGAGGAAUACCGAUGGCGAAGGCAGCCCCCUGGGAUAACACUGACGCUCAUGCACGAAGCGUGGGAGCAAACAGG